rnacentral:rRNA from 1 species
UUCACUAGUGAUUUUGGAGGGCAAGUCUGGUGCCAGCAGCCGCGGUAAUUCCAGCUCCAAUAGCGUAUAUUAAAGUUGUUGCAGUUAAAAAGCUCGUAGUUGAAUUUCGGGACCAAUAUGUCGGUCGUGCUUCGGUACGUACUUGCAUUAUUGGUUUCUCCCUUCUGACGAACCAUGAAGUCAUUAAUUUGGUGUCUUGGGGAAUCAGGACUGUUACUUUGAAAAAAUUAGAGUGUUUAAAGCAGGCUCACGCUUGAAUACAUUAGCAUGGAAUAAUGAAAUAGGACGUUUGAUUCUAUUUUGUUGGUUUCUAGGAUCGACGUAAUGAUUAAUAGGGAUAGUUGGGGGCAUUAGUAUUCAAUUGUCAGAGGUGAAAUUCUUGGAUUUAUUGAAGACUAACUACUGCGAAAGCAUUUGCCAAGGAUGUUUUCAUUGAUCAAGAACGAAAGUUAGGGGAUCGAAGACGAUCAGAUACCGUCGUAGUCUUAACCAUAAACUAUGCCGACUAGGGAUCGGAUGAUGUUAAUUUUUUAAUGACUCAUUCGGCGCCUUACGGGAAACA